rnacentral:rRNA from 1 species
GAUGAACGCUAGCGGCAGGCUUAAUACAUGCAAGUCGAACGGUAACAGGUCCAGCAAUGGAUGCUGACGAGUGGCGCACGGGUGCGUAACACGUAUGCAACCUACCUUUAACUAAGGAAUAGCCCCGAGAAAUCGGGAUUAAUACUUUAUAAAAUUAUGAAAGGGCAUCUUUUUAUAAUUAAAGUUCAGGCGGUUAAAGAUGGGCAUGCGCGACAUUAGCUAGUUGGUAAGGUAACGGCUUACCAAGGCUGCGAUGUCUAGGGGUUCUGAGAGGAUUAUCCCCCACACUGGUACUGAGACACGGACCAGACUCCUACGGGAGGCAGCAGUAAGGAAUAUUGGGCAAUGGACGCAAGUCUGACCCAGCCAUGCCGCGUGCAGGAUGAAUGCCCUAUGGGUUGUAAACUGCUUUUAUACGGGAAAAAACUCCCGGUCGUGUACCGGGAUUGAUGGUACUGUAAGAAUAAGGAUCGGCUAACUCCGUGCCAGCAGCCGCCGUAAUAC